ACACUUACCUGGCAGGGGAGAUGCCGUGAUCAGGAAGGUGGUUCCCCAGGGCGAGGCUUGUCCAUUGUACUCCGGAUGUGCUGACCCCUGCGAUCUCCCCAAAGGUGGGGAACUCACUGCAUGGUUUGUGGUAGUGGGGACUGCAUUCGCUCUCUCCCCU